AGGCAGCAGUGGGGGAAUAUUGCACAAUGGGCGCAAGCCUGAUGCAGCCAUGCCGCGUGUAUGAAGAAGGCCUUCGGGUUGUAAAGUACUUUCAGCAGUGAGGAAGGUGGGUAUGUUAAUAGCAUACUCAUUUGACGUUAGCUGCAGAAGAAGCACCGGCUAACUCCGUGCCAGCAGCCGCGGUAAUACGGAGGGUGCGAGCGUUAAUCGGAAUUACUGGGCGUAAAGCGCAUGCAGGUGGUUUGUUAAGUCAGAUGUGAAAGCCCGGGGCUCAACCUCGGAAUUGCAUUUGAAACUGGCAAACUAGAGUACUGUAGAGGGGGUAGAAUUUCAGGUGUAGCGGUGAAAUGCGUAGAGAUCUGAAGGAAUACCGGUGGCGAAGGCGACCCCCUGGACAGAUACUGACACUCAGAUGCGAAAGCGUGGGGAGCAAACAGGAUUAGAUACCCUGGUAG
rnacentral:rRNA from 1 species